rnacentral:rRNA from 1 species
AUUGAACGCUGGCGGCAUGCUUUACACAUGCAAGUCGAACGGUAACAGGGAGCUUGCUCCGCUGACGAGUGGCGAACGGGUGAGUAAUGCGUCGGAACGUGCCGAGUAGUGGGGGAUAACGCAUCGAAAGGUGUGCUAAUACCGCAUACGAACUGAGGUUGAAAGUGGGGGACCUUCGGGCCUCACGCUAUUCGAGCGGCCGACGUCUGAUUAGCUAGUUGGUGAGGUAAAGGCUCACCAAGGCGACGAUCAGUAGCGGGUCUGAGAGGAUGAGCCGCCACACUGGGACUGAGACACGGCCCAGACUCCUGCGGGAGGCAGCAGUGGGGAAUUUUGGACGAUGGGCGCAAGCCUGAUCCAGCCAUGCCGCGUGUCUGAAGAAGGCCUUCGGGUUGUAAAGGACUUUUGUCCGGGAGCAAAUGCUGAUGGCUAACAUCCACCGGAGCUGAGAGUACCGGAAGAAUAAGCACCGGCUAACUACGUGCCAGCCGCCGCCGUAACAC